GUCAGUGUGGUAUAGUGGUUUGAAUGCAAGACUAUGAUUCUGGAGACUAGGGUUCGAAUCCUCACUCAAUCA